AGAGCGAACGCUGGCGGCAGGCCUAACACAUGCAAGUCGAACGGACCCUUCGGGGUUAGUGGCGGACGGGUGAGUAACACGUGGGAACGUGCCUUUAGGUUCGGAAUAGCUCCUGGAAACGGGUGGUAAUGCCGAAUGUGCCCUUCGGGGGAAAGAUUUAUCGCCUUUAGAGCGGCCCGCGUCUGAUUAGCUUGUUGGUGAGGUAAUGGCUCGCCAAGGCUACGAUCAGUAGCUGGUCUGAGAGGAUGACCAGCCACAUUGGGACUGAGACACGGCCCAAACUCCUACGGGAGGCAGCAGUGGGGAAUCUUGCGCAAUGGGCGAAAGCCUGACGCAGCCAUGCCGCGUGUAUGAUGAAGGUCUUAGGAUUAGUAAAUACUUUCACCGGUUGAAAGAUAAUGACUGUAGCCGGAAGAAGAACGCCCCGGAUAACGUUCGUGCCAGCAGCCGC
rnacentral:rRNA from 1 species